UACGGAGGGGGCUAGCGUUGUUCGGAAUUCCUGGGCGUAAAGCGCACGUAGGCGGCUUUGUAAGUUAGAGGUGAAAGCCCAGGGCUUAACCCUGGAAUUGCCUUUAAGACUGCAUCGCUAGAAUUGUGGAGAGGUAAGUGGAAUUCCGAGUGUAGAGGUGAAAUUCGUAGAUAUUCGGAAGAACACCAGUGGCGAAGGCGACUUACUGGACACAUAUUGACGCUGAGGUGCGAAAGCGUGGGGAGCAAACAGG
rnacentral:rRNA from 1 species